CGGGGUGAGUAACGCGUGGGUAACCUGCCUCAUACAGGGGGAUAACAGUUAGAAAUGGCUGCUAAUACCGCAUAAGACCACAGUACUGCAUGGUGCAGUGGUAAAAACUCCGGUGGUAUGAGAUGGACCCGCGUCUGAUUAGGUAGUUGGUGAGGUAACGGCCCACCAAGCCGACGAUCAGUAGCCGACCUGAGAGGGUGACCGGCCACAUUGGGACUGAGACACGGCCCAG
rnacentral:rRNA from 1 species